AUGCUCACGUUGGCAGCAUAUGUGCUAAAACUGGAAUAACACAGAGGAGAAUAGCAUGGUCACUGUGAAAGUAUGACACAUAGAUUUGUGAAGCAUACCAUAGUUUU
rnacentral:snRNA from 1 species